ACUCAUAUUUCCAUAUCUUGAGUCUUCUUUCCCAGCAUUCCAUGUCUGUGCGCUAGUAGUAUUCUUGUCUUGCGGUUUCCUGCACAUCAGUUCGGAGAUAUUCAUAAAUUGCAGCAUCAUUAUUGAACUAAAGAUUUCAGCUGCAGCUAGAUUGUUUGGUGACCAUCCAUUGUCCUCUCUAAACACAAAUGCUUCUAGAACCUGAAAGUGUGAAUUGUUCACUGUAACACAGAAAACACAGAGCUCAUUUCGCUGAGAAAUAUUCUCCCAUUAGUUUCCAGCCAGACAUUCCAACGCAAUGUUAUAACUAGCUGAUCCCAAGCUCGGCACAUGAUUUGUCCACUUUUCAGCUUCUCCAUGAAGUCCAGAGCAUAUGAAACUUUGAAGGUCAUCCUUUUAACUUAAGUACUCUUCAAUAUUGCCCAUAAACUUCCUGCAAAAGUGUAUCUAAAGAAAAGAUUACACACAUUUUGCAAAUUGCCACUACAAAGACGGCAACCCCGACUCAUCGGCAAACCUUUCUUAAUCAACUUUUUCUUUAUAUGCGAC
rnacentral:lncRNA from 1 species